AACGCUGGCGGCGUGCCUAAUACAUGCAAGUCGAGCGGACAGAUGGGAGCUUGCUCCCUGAUGUUAGCGGCGGACGGGUGAGUAACACGUGGGUAACCUGCCUGUAAGACUGGGAUAACUCCGGGAAACCGGGGCUAAUACCGGAUGGUUGUUUGAACCGCAUGGUUCAAACAUAAAAGGUGGCUUCGGCUACCACUUACAGAUGGACCCGCGGCGCAUUAGCUAGUUGGUGAGGUAACGGCUCACCAAGGCAACGAUGCGUAGCCGACCUGAGAGGGUGAUCGGCCACACUGGGACUGAGACACGGCCCAGACUCCUACGGGAGGCAGCAGUAGGGAAUCUUCCGCAAUGGACGAAAGUCUGACGGAGCAACGCCGCGUGAGUGAUGAAGGUUUUCGGAUCGUAAAGCUCUGUUGUUAGGGAAAAACAAGUACCGUUCGAAUAGGGCGGUACCUUGACGGUACCUAACCAGAAAGCCACGGCUAACUAC
rnacentral:rRNA from 1 species